rnacentral:rRNA from 1 species
UGGGGAAUUUUGCUCAAUGGGGGAAACCCUGAAGCAGCAACGCCGCGUGGAGGAUGAAGGUCUUCGGAUUGUAAACUCCUUUUAACAGGGAAGAUAAUGACGGUACCUGUUGAAUAAGCACCGGCUAACUCCGUGCCAGCAGCCGCGGUAAUACGGAGGGUGCAAGCGUUACUCGGAAUCACUGGGCGUAAAGGGCGCGUAGGCGUCCUAUUAAGUCUCCCGUGAAAGCCCCGAGCUCAACUUGGGAACUGCGGGGGAAACUGGUAGGAUAGAGUGCGGAAGAGGUCGAUGGAAUUUCUGGUGUAGGGGUAAAAUCCGUAGAGAUCAGAAGGAAUACCGAUGGCGAAAGCGAUCGGCUGGGACGCUACUGACGCUGAGGCGCGAAAGCGUGGGGAGCAAA